rnacentral:rRNA from 1 species
AGUCGAACGCGAAAGGGGCUUCGGCCCUGAGUAGAGUGGCGAACGGGUGAGUAACGCGUGGGUGACCUACCUUCGAGUGGGGGAUAACGUUCCGAAAGGAACGCUAAUACCGCAUGAAGUUCUGGAUUUGAACAUCUGGAAACCAAAGCCGGGGACCGCAAGGCCUGGCGCUUGGAGAGGGGCCCGCGUCUGAUUAGCUAGUUGGCGGGGUAAUGGCCCACCAAGGCGACGAUCAGUAGCCGGCCUGAGAGGGCGGACGGCCACACUGGGACUGAGACACGGCCCAGACUCCUACGGGAGGCAGCAGUGGGGAAUUGUUCGCAAUGGGCGCAAGCCUGACGACGCAACGCCGCGUGGGGGAUGAAGGUCUUCGGAUUGUAAACCCCUGUCGAGCGGGACGAAUAGCCCACGACCUAAUACGUUGUGGGAAUGACGGUACCGCUAAAGGAAGCCACGGCUAACUCUGUGCCAGCAGCCGCGGUAAUACAGAGGUGGCAAGCGUUGUUCGGAAUUACUGGGCGUAAAGGGCGCGUAGGCGGCCCUCUAAGUCAGACGUGAAAUCCCCCGGCUCAACCUGGGAACUGCGUCUGAUACUGGGGGGCUUGAGUGCGGGAGAGGGAUGCGGAAUUCCAGGUGUAGCGGUGAAAUGCGUAGAUAUCUGGAGGAACACCGGUGGCGAAGGCGGCAUCCUGGACCGACACUGACGCUGAGGCGCGAAAGCUAGGGUAGCAAACGGGAUUAGAUACCCCGGUAGUCCUAGCCCUAAACGAUGAGUGCUUGGUGUGGCGGGUAUCGAUCCCUGCCGUGCCGAAGCUAACGCAUUAAGCACUCCGCCUGGGGAGUACGG